rnacentral:rRNA from 1 species
AUGCAACCGCCUUUGCGGCCAAGGCCACGACGGCCACUUCUUCCAGCCGCUGCUCGGCCAUGCACCAGCAUCCAGCAGCUCGAGCGCACCUCCGAUGACCUCCCUAGGCAGGGCCUUGGCAAGUCCCUUAGAUCCCCUUCGAUUUGCCAAGACGCGGCAACCAGGAACGGCCAAGGACGCCUUCGUGGAUUUCGCCAAGUUCACCGGAUGCCUAGUACGACUACAGGACCAUCAACACCAAGUACCCCUUCGGAACACCAAGUUCCACUAGGUUUUCCAUGUAUAUCUACACCAAGACCGGACCGACAAGUACCCCGACAACGUGUGUACCUCUACCGACGACCCCGGACAUCUACGAGAAACGUGUACAACUACCGUCGCCAUGUACAACUACUUCCACUACUUCCCACGAUGUCCGUGAACCACUACCGUCGCCCCGAAGAUGUUGGAUUCGUCAAGUACCUCUCCGAGAUGAACGUGUACAACUACUUCCUCUACGACCGAUACGAGAACGUCUACUUCCUCUACAUCGUACCGAACCCGAACCGCUCCGAAACGCACGCUUCGAAGGUAUAA